AAAAGUGCCGCUUAUCCUUUCUCAACCAGAAGAACAGAAAAACAGCUGCUUUACUCCCCUCCCCUGCCGCCGCCGGCCGCCCCCCACCACACCUCCCGAGUCCCGACGGAGCUCCGGCGGGGGAGGCGGCGAUCUAGAACACCCCACGUCCGCCCUCGCGCUCCCAUGGCGCCAGCCACUCUCCCGUACCCGAGCAUUUUCUUUUCCGGCCGCAGCCGCCACCGCUGCCGUCUCCGGCAGCUCGCCGCCGCACCGAGAAAGUCAGUGCGACGAUGCUAUGAUCCCUCGUACACAGCUUUGCAAGCCCAAAAUCUGAAAUCUUUGGACUGAACCUGUAGUCUAGCAAGAUGUUGUGAGGCUUGAUGUCGAAGUGGAGGAUCCGCUGAUUGCAGCCUUGAUGCAGAAUCCCAACAGACGGACCACAUUAGCAUGGUGGAUUCUACCAAUGGUUGCAACUUCAUUCAUGAACUCUUCUCCGUCGCUCCUUGAGUUCUCCAGCAUCUUUACUGCCACAGGGACCGAUAGAGUGCCGUGGCUGCCGUCAGCAAGAGAAUCACAAAUGUGGCUACCGAUGAUGUUGCUGGAAAACAAGAAUGCAGGCAAAUAGUGAGUUAUACUUGGACUAACAAAAUCUUACUUUCAUGUCUUUCCUCUUAUAUUAGAUAAUAAAAUGCAAGAAUAAGAAUGAUAAACAAAAAGAUGUAUUCACAAUACCUGCAAUGACUUUCACACGUGAACCUGCAUGUAGGAAAUAAGCAAUUUAGAUUUUUUGUGCAAAAUAAUAGAAGACGUGAAAUUUCUUUUUCUUUUUUGUAAGAGAAAAGAAGGAUACUGACUUUUCUCAUUGAAUAAGUGUACCAACUCAUUCCAGCUUUUUGUUGAUGUAAUGGAAAAGAGAUUCAACUAAUGCGAGUAGGAUGUGCACACAUGACAUCAUGCUAAUUUGUGAUAAACACAGAUCAGUAAUAUAUGUUUUGAUGUUCAGACUUAAAAUGGUAAUGCAUAAUUAAAUUGGGCAUUGCUACAAUUUUUGAAGAAGUGAAUGUUCUGAUUAUUGAAAUUAGCAACUUAAGUUACAAGAUAAGUACCAUAAAGCUGACUUGAAUUUAGAAGAGCAGCACACAUAGGUCUACAGAAGAACAAAAUGUUCAUAUUAACGUAUAUUUUAACUCCCUGUCAUUGAAGAGCAGCAAGUCUAGGUUUACAAAAGAACACAAUUAUCAUAUUGACGUAUUGAUUUUAUCAUGCCAACUAAGAAGAGCAUACUAGGUUCACAAAAUAACAUAAUGAUCAAACUACUCGCAUAUAUCUCAACUUUCUUGGGACAUCACUCUUUUUGUUUUCUUGAGUAAUAACUUCAAAAGUAUGAGCAUCACAAAAAUCCAGUCUAGAUGGGGCGGAACUCAGGCUUUCCCAGAAGGUAUCGUAACAAUUAUAGCGUGAUCUACCCCAUUGGCUUGUAUGCAUACAGUAAGAUUGGGCUGCUGCAUAAUCAUAAAUAUUUUUCAUCCCUGAGCUGCUUUAUUUGGCUGUCCAAGCAUGAUUUCCUAAAUAUCCUAGUGAAUAGUGCAUUUAAUUAUUUAGAGAUUUUUUCCCCUCAAAGGGUUUCAGAGAACUGAAAGCAAUCUUAUGUCAAACAACCUGUUUAUCAGCAAUAUUGGAGCUAAACAUAGUUUUCAUUCAGAACCAAUGUGAUUCUAUUCCAGUGAAAUUUAAACUAUAAUGAUGUUCGCACUGUAUUUGCUA